GUUUCUAAUGCCCAUUAACACGUAAAGAGGACCGGGAAAAAGAAAACAACCAAAAUUUUUGCAAGGAAGCCAUUCUCAGCAGUUGACAGAUUAGAAUUGUUGGCAGCAAUACAGGGAAAAAAAAUAGCAGACCAAUGUCCACACAAGAUGAGACCUACGAGGACACAUUCACAAACAACACAGUUAUCAACUCUUACAGCUUACAAAAACAUCCACAAUCUAACUACAUCAGUUAACUGCAUUUAUGUCAGCUAUCUUUUAGGCAAUGAGAGAAUGGCAGCACAAAAUGUUUUUUUUUUUUUUUCCCUUUUUUAUAACUUGGCUUGGAGAUUGUUCUUUUGUGAUUUGGUAUCCCUGUUGCAUUCUAGUAAACUGCCACUUGAUUUGUUAAGCUUUGAGGGUGUUUCUAGAAAUAUUGGGUUUCGGCUCCUUUUUGUUUCAGCAAAUACAAUUGCUAAGUUUGUUUCUAACAGCUAGUUGUGAUUAAUUUUUGUUUUUUGGGUAUUUUGGGUUCUCUAUUUCAAGUGAUAUUUUUAUUGCUUUCCUAAAAGCAUUCUCCUAUUAAUUGUAAGCUAUUUCUGAAUUUUGGGUGACUAUUUUGAGAUAUGAUGAUUUAUAAUAAGGGUGAUACUAAGUCUAUGAUUUCCAACAAGAUUCUGAUGAUGACUAAAAUAUCAAUCAUAAGUUCAAUGGUUUGAAUUACUUGGAAGUUGAAAUUCCUGUGUUUUGGGUUUUGUGUUUGCUAUUUAUUGGAGGUCCUAUUUUGAUUAUAACUUUUGUUUGGUGUGGGUGUUUGGAUUUGGACAAUCAUCGUAUCACAGCUCUAUGAGCUGUUAGGUAAACAUUCAUCUACUGUUAUUUUUUCUUGCCAAUAUUACCUUUGGAGACAAAAGCACAACCCAAUGAGCUGUUUUGUGUUAAUGUUUUCUCGUCGGCAUCGCCUUUGGAGAGGACUUGUCUUUUAUGUUAGCGCCUUUGUGCCUUUGUGCAAGUGUUUCUGAAUUCGGCAUGCGGUACUGUUACUUUGUGUUAUUGAUUCUAAGGGAUCAUUGGACCUUAAGGGAUAACUGGACCUGUUGCAGUCUUCUAAGAAGAAUCUCAUACAGGGAAUAGUGUUGGAACUGAUGAGAUUACAUUUUUAGGGGGAGUGUUAAGACAAGGCAAUAUUAUAUUCCCAUUUAGUGUAGCAUUUAUAUUGUUAUGGAACGUCAAAAUUCCUAUUUAGUGUAGGAUUUAU
rnacentral:misc_RNA from 1 species